rnacentral:rRNA from 1 species
UCGAGCGGAGAGAGGUAGCUUGCUACUGAUCUUAGCGGCGGACGGGUGAGUAAUGCUUAGGAAUCUGCCUAUUAGUGGGGGACAACAUUUCGAAAGGAAUGCUAAUACCGCAUACGUCCUACGGGAGAAAGCAGGGGAUCUUCGGACCUUGCGCUAAUAGAUGAGCCUAAGUCGGAUUAGCUAGUUGGUGGGGUAAAGGCCUACCAAGGCGACGAUCUGUAGCGGGUCUGAGAGGAUGAUCCGCCACACUGGGACUGAGACACGGCCCAGACUCCUACGGGAGGCAGCAGUGGGGAAUAUUGGACAAUGGGCGCAAGCCUGAUCCAGCCAUGCCGCGUGUGUGAAGAAGGCCUUAUGGUUGUAAAGCACUUUAAGCGAGGAGGAGGCUACUUUAGUUAAUACCUAGAGAUAGUGGACGUUACUCGCAGAAUAAGCACCGGCUAACUCUGUGCCAGCAGCCGCGGUAAUACAGAGGGUGCAAGCGUUAAUCGGAUUUACUGGGCGUAAAGCGCGCGUAGGCGGCUAAUUAAGUCAAAUGUGAAAUCCCCGAGCUUAACUUGGGAAUUGCAUUCGAUACUGGUUAGCUAGAGUGUGGGAGAGGAUGGUAGAAUUCCAGGUGUAGCGGUGAAAUGCGUAGAGAUCUGGAGGAAUACCGAUGGCGAAGGCAGCCAUCUGGCCUAACACUGACGCUGAGGUGCGAAAGCAUGGGGAGCAAACAGGAUUAGAUACCCUGGUAGUCCAUGCCGUAAACGAUGUCUACUAGCCGUUGGGGCCUUUGAGGCUUUAGUGGCGCAGCUAACGCGAUAAGUAGACCGCCUGGGGAGUACGGUCGCAAGACUAAAACUCAAAUGAAUUGACGGGGGCCCGCACAAGCGGUGGAGCAUGUGGUUUAAUUCGAUGCAACGCGAAGAACCUUACCUGGCCUUGACAUAGUAAGAACUUUCCAGAGAUGGAUUGGUGCCUUCGGGAACUUACAUACAGGU